rnacentral:rRNA from 1 species
GACGAACGCUGGCGGCGUGCUUAACACAUGCAAGUCGAACGGAAAGGCCCUGCUUUUGUGGGGUGCUCGAGUGGCGAACGGGUGAGUAACACGUGAGUAACCUGCCCUUGACUUUGGGAUAACUUCAGGAAACUGGGGCUAAUACCGGAUAGGAGCUCCUGCUGCAUGGUGGGGGUUGGAAAGUUUCGGCGGUUGGGGAUGGACUCGCGGCUUAUCAGCUUGUUUGUGGGGUAGUGGCUUACCAAGGCGUUGACGGGUAGCGGGCCUGAGAGGGUGACCGGCCACAAGGGGACUGCGAUACGGCCCAGACUACUAUGGGAGGCAGCAGUGGGAAAUAUUGCACAAUGGGCAGAAGCCUGAUGCAGCAACGCCGCGUGCGGGAUGACGGCCUUCGGGUUGUAAACCGCUUUCGCCUGAGACGAAGCGUGAGUGACGGUAAUGGGUAAAGAAGCUCCGGCUAACUACGUG